CAGUCGCCACGGUAAUACGAAGGGUGCAAGCGUUAAUCGGAAUUACUGGGCGUAAAGCGUGCGUAGGCGGUUUGUUAAGUAUGUUGUGAAAUCCCCGGGCUCAACCUGGGAAUGGCAAUGGAUACUGGCAAGCUAGAGUGUGUCAGAGGAUGGUGGAAUUCCCGGUGUAGCGGUGAAAUGCGUAGAGAUCGGGAGGAACAUCAGUGGCGAAGGCGGCCAUCUGGGACAACACUGACGCUGAGGCACGAAAGCGUGGGGAGCAAACAGGAUUAGAUACCCCCGUAGUCCCUGUCUCUUAUAC
rnacentral:rRNA from 1 species